UACGGGGGGGGCAAGCGUUGUUCGGAAUUACUGGGCGUAAAGGGCGCGUAGGCGGCCUUCUAAGUCAGACGUGAAAUCCCCCGGCUUAACCUGGGAACUGCGUCUGAUACUGGGAGGCUAGAGUGCGGUAGAGGGAAGCGGAAUUUCCGGUGUAGCGGUGAAAUGCGUAGAUAUCGGAAGGAACACCAGUGGCGAAAGCGGCUUCCUGGACCAGCACCGACGUUCAGACACGAAAGCGUGGGGAGCAAACAGG
rnacentral:rRNA from 1 species